rnacentral:rRNA from 1 species
UACGGAGGGUGCAAGCGUUAUCCGGAUUCACUGGGUUUAAAGGGUGCGUAGGUGGGCAGGUAAGUCAGUGGUGAAAUCUCCGGGCUUAACUCGGAAACUGCCGUUGAUACUAUCUGUCUUGAAUAUCGUGGAGGUUAGCGGAAUAUGUCAUGUAGCGGUGAAAUGCUUAGAUAUGGCAUAGAACACCCAUUGCGAAGGCAGCUAACUACACGAUCAUUGACACUGAGGCACGAAAGCGUGGGGAGCAAACAGG